UGGGUUUCGGAUAUUGCUCCAAGAGUCUUUUUUUGUAGGUACUGAUGCUUUACAUAUGUGUGCCAAUUUUCGUGCAUGUACGUGAAACACAGCUCGAGGGCUGUUGAUUUUUUUACGAUAGGUGGCGCUGUCGAGCCAUUUUGCCACACCCUCUUCUGAAACCUAUAUCAGACGAAAAUUUUCACCAGGUCUGACGCGUGUGCAAAGUUUCAGGACUUUUCGAGCAUGUUUAGGCCCUCAAAAAUGCGAUUCAUUUUGGAGAAGAAGAAGAAGAAGAAGAAGAAGAAGAAGAAGAAGAAGAAUUAAAGCUGCAAGCAGCGAUGAACGGGCCCUCGCACCCGGG
ensembl:lncRNA